rnacentral:rRNA from 1 species
GACGAACGCUGGCGGCGUGCUUAACACAUGCAAGUCGAACGGAAAGGCGCUGCUUUUGUGGGGUGCUCGAGUGGCGAACGGGUGAGUAAAACGCGAGUAAAAUGCCCUUGUCUUUGGGAUAAAUUCAGGAAACUGGGGCUCAUACCGGAUAGGAGCUCCUGCUGCGUGGGGGGGGAUGGAAAGUUUCGGCGGUGGGGGAUAGACUCGAGGGUUAUCAGCUGGUUGGUGGAGUAGUGGCUUACCAAGGCUAAGACGGAUAGCCGGCCUUGGAGGGUGACCGGCCACAAUGGGACUGAGGUACGGCGCAGACGCCUACGGGAGGCAGCAGUGGGGAAUAUUGCGCAAUGGGCGGAAGCCUGAGGCAGCAACGCCGCGUGCGGGAUGACGGCUUUCGGGGUGUGAACCGCUUUCUCCGUUGACGAAGCGGUAGUGACGGUAAUGAGUAAAAAAGCACCGGCUAACUACGUG